UCUAAAUAGAUGCACCAGGCGAAGCACUACUCAUGUGCAAUCACAGUUAACAAAUCUCCAUGACAUCCUGGUGUCGCCUGGGGAGCACAAGACUCUGCUUUAGGUGCCUCAGUUCAAAUCCUGUUACCAGCUUUAUGACCUAUGUUAGCCCUUUAAAGAUUCCGAGCCUUAAUUUUACUCAAUUGUAUACUUUAAACUCCAGUUUUUGUCAACUUUAUGCUUAUAAUUAUUUUAAAAAGCUAGUAAGAUAAUAUGCAUGGAAACUCUGUUGCACAGUAGGUGUUCAAAGCAUUAGAGGAAUGUGUGCUUGGAAAUCAUUUUCAGAGUAUUUUUAAUUUCUGAAGCAUUGGUGCAGAUUUGUGACUCCAUCGGUACAGUGGACACAAGUGAACACAACUUGGAAUUCUUGAAAACUGAAAUCAUCCUUUAUCUCAACGACAGGAGAAGCAAUUUUCACUUGUUUGCGACACAGCUCGACUGGAAUUAUACUUCAAAAUACAAUAAACUUCUCCUGAGAAGACUGACAUGAAA